rnacentral:misc_RNA from 1 species
UAACCACUCAAGCCUGGCUUGGUAUUGGGGUUCGCGGUUCCGCGGCCCCUAAAAUCAGUGGCGGUGCCGGUAGGCUCUAAGCGUAGUAAAUCUCCUCGCUAUAGGGUCCCUCCGGUUGCCUGCCAAAACCCCCCAUUUUUUCA